ACAAAAAUUCUCAUAAUAAACCGAAAAUACAUCCCAAAACAACACAAAAUAGUAAGUAGAGCCAUUGAAAGCACAUUGACUAUCAGUCUAUCACUGACCUUUGCUGUCGCCUUCUCUCUCUUUCCCUUUGAGAGAAUUAAAUUAAAAAAUACACAACAAGCAGUUUUCACUUAAGUUAAUCAGAGGGCACCAUACAUAUCGUUGGACGCGACGCCGUUUUAUGGUUGGGCAGCACUACUUUUAGCUCACCAUUUUGAAAAUGGACCAGUACAAGUGAAAAAACACUCUCGCACCUUGUCACACCGAGGGACACAGGAAGUGUUCUCUUCUUCGCACUCAAGCGAAAUCACAACCCAGUAGCUUCAUCUCACAGGAAAAUAAGGUAUCUAACCAAUACAAAUAAUGAGUACCGAAGAACCCAAGAGAAGCAUCACUGGAGGUCUAGUUGGUAAACCCAUCUCAGAUGAUCGAAAAGUUUCUCCGGCUACAGCUCCCACCGCCAAGAAAGUCAUCAUCAAGAACGCUGACAUGAAAGAUGAUAUGCAGAAAGAAGCCGUCGAUAUUGCCAUUGCCGCAUUCGAGAAGCCCAGUGUAGAGAAGGAUGUAGCUGAGCACAUAAAGAAGGAAUUCGAUAGGAGGCAUGGACCCACUUGGCAUUGCAUCGUUGGCCGGAAUUUUGUAUAAGCUUCAGCUGUUGGCCUGCAUUUUGCACUCCUUUCUUCAACUAAAGGAUGACAAAAGCUUGCAUUCCCCUCCUCGCUCAGAAGGGUUCAUAUGUGACUCAUGAAACAAACAACUUUGUUUAUUUCUAUUUGGACCAGAAGGCAGUUCUGUUAUUCAAAUCUGGGUGAGAAGGAUGGAGAUCAAUCACGAAGAUGGGGAUAGCGAGUUCAUGAUAAUUAUGCUACAUGAAUCAAUGGCUGCAGUGUGUAUUUUUAACAAAAUCUACUAGCAUGCAAAAAACUCUAGCCAGAGAUUACUGUGCCCCAAAUUGUAUAUUUAAUUUAAUUUCACUUGAAUGUUUGUGGCCAUUCCAGUCUGUUGCUCCCCUUGUAUUCAAUAUUUAGUGUUUUGGUUUUUAAACUUAUUAAUUCUGGAAUAAGACUAGAAUUCAAUGUGUUGUACAAAAACUAGAGAAACGUUCUUAUGAGAGAAGACUGCUUCUGCUUUUGCAUCUUUCAAGACAUCCCAGAAAGUAUACAAAAGAGACAAUUAACAGGAAGUAAUUUUCUUUAACCUCUUUUUCUUCCAUCUUAUCGG